rnacentral:rRNA from 1 species
GACGAACGCUGGCGGCGUGCUUAACACAUGCAAGUCGAGCGGCUCGGCGAACGGGUGCGUAACACGUGAGUAACUGCCCCCCUCUCUGGGUUAACAGUUGGAAACGGCUGCUAAUACCGGAUAGUGGUGGGGGACUCGCGUCCUAUCAGCUUGUUGGUGGGGUAGUGGCCUCCCAAGGCGACGACGGGUAGCCGGCCGGAGAGGGCGACCGGCCACAGUGGGCUGAGAUACGGCCCAAACUCCUACGGGAGGCAGCAGUGGGGAAUAUUGCACAAUGGGGGAAACCCUGAUGCAGCAACGCGCGUGCGGGAUGACUGCCUUCGUGUUGUAAACCGCUUUCAGCCAUGACGCGGUAGUGGCAGAAGAAGCACCGGCUAACUACGUGCCAGCCGCCGCGGUAAUUC